rnacentral:rRNA from 1 species
GACGAACGCUGGCGGCGUGCUUAACACAUGCAAGUCGAGCGGUAAGGCCCUUUCGGGGGUACGACGAGCGGCGAACGGGUAGAGUAACACGUGGGUGGACCUCGCCCUCCAGCUCUGGGAGUAAGACCCGGGAAACCGUAGGGUCGUAAUACUGGAUAUGACUCCACGGUGCAUGCCGUGGGGUGGAAAGCCUUGUGCGGCUGAGGAUGGGCCCGGCGGCCUAUCAGCUUGUUGGUGGGGUGGAUGGCCUACCAAGGCGACGACGGGUAGCCGGCCUGAGAGGGCGACCGGCCACACUGGGACUGAGACACGGCCCAGACUCCUACGGGAGGCAGCAGUGGGGAAUCUUGCGCAAUGGGCGAAAGCCUGACGCAGCGACGCCGCGUGAGGGAUGACGGCCU